UGGACAGAUUAUUGUAUUCGACUGUAUUCACGGCGUGAAACAGAGGAUUACACUAUUUUUAAAUGGAAAGUGAAUCAAUUAACAUAAUAGACUCCU
rnacentral:pre_miRNA from 1 species